AGCUCCGCAAGUGUAUUCCUAUACUGCUGAGGUUAAAAAGCUCGUAGUUGGAUCUGCGUGUCCAGCCUGCGGUGCGGCCUUACGGUCGUCUUCUGCGCGGCGACACAUCAAUGCUGACUUUUGUGCGAUGCUCUUCACCGGGUGUCGCAUAGGGAGACAGCGAGUUUACUUUGAACAAAUUAGAGUGCUCAACACAGGCGUCUCGCUUGUAUACAUCUGCAUGGAAUAAUGGAAUAGGACCGCGGCGCCUAUUUUGUUGGUUUCCGGAGCCGAGGUAAUGAUUAAGAGGGACAGACGGGGGCAUUUGUAUUGCGACGUGAGAGGUGAAAUUCUUGGAUCGUCGCAAGACAAACUACUGCGAAAGCAUUUGCCAAGAAUGUUUUCA
rnacentral:rRNA from 1 species